rnacentral:lncRNA from 1 species
AUAAUGUAGAAAACUUCUUUGAUAGUUCAAUAAAAAGAAAAAUAUAACAAAUAGUAAGAACAUAAUGAUAAAAGUUGCAGUUCACUGUGAAUACAUCUAACAAUGUUAUAUAUGAGUAUAGAUUCAAUAUACUUAAAAUGUAACCAACAAAAUCUAGCAAUGCAUUUAAAAAAUAAUAUACAAAUAGGUCAUAUCAUUCAAAUACAAGAAUGGUAUAAUAUCAGAAGAAGUUUUACAUAUUUUCCACAGAUUAUCUUAUAAAAACUGUCUGACCAUCUUGAUUUCUUUUACAGAUAGAUCAUUAUUGAUGUAAAUAAAUGCAACUGAUUUUUGAUGUUGAUUUUGUGUCCUGCUACUUUACUGAAUUCGAUCAUUAGUUCUAACAAUUUUUGUGACAUUUUAAGGAUUUUCUACACAGAGGAUCAUAUCAUCUGCAAACAAAGAUAAUUUUGCUUCCUUUUGCAUUUGGAUGGCUUCUAUUUAUUUUUCUUAUCUGAUUGUCCUUGCUAGUAUUUCCAGCAAUUUUAAUAGAACUGUUGAAUAGAAGUGCAGAGGGUGGGCAUCUUUGUACCUUGCCUUGUACUGUAUCUUAGAGGAAAACCUUUCCAUCUUUUAGCAUCAAAUAACAGGUAAGAUACAGUUACAAAUGCAUGUAUAGGUUAAGGAGCCUGGACUCUAAAGGUAGUGUCAACAUAUAAUUUCUAUUGUGUAUGCCUUAACAGAUAUGAAUAUAAAAAUCAGAUUAGGCUACAUAAAGAGAAAAAUCGAUCCAUGGUCUUUAAAACUUCAAAGAAAAUUAUGUUGGCAGUUGGCUUUUUAUAAAUGGCUUUAGUUAUGUUGAGGAAAUUUUCUUCUAUAUGUAUUUUGUUGAGAGUUUGUAUCAUGAAAACAUGUUGAACUUUGUUAAGUAUUUUUCUGCAUCUAUUGAGAUAAUCAUAUAAUUUUUAUAUUUUAUUCCCUUAAUAUAGGAUAUUACAUUAAUUUGUGUAUGUUGGCACAGGUACAUAUAAAGACAAUAAAGGAUUUUUAUUACUAUAAAUACAGUUAGUAAAUCUAUUAAUGAAGGCAAGAACAACAAAGUUGGAGGCAUCACAUGUUCUUAUUUCAAAUUAUACAACAAAGCAAUAGUAAUCAAAACAGUAUGGCAUAGGCAUGAAACACACACAUAGACCAGUGGAACAGAAUAGGCAGCCCAGAAAUAAACCCAAGCACAUGUGGUCAACUAAUUUCCAACAAGGCCACCAAGAAGAAAUAAAAAUAGCCAACAAGAAUAUAAAAAUGUGCUUAACAUCAUUAACUAUGGAGGGAAAUGCAAAUCAAAACCACUAUAAGAUAUCAAUUCUGCUGUGCAGAAGCUCUUUAGCACUAUUCACAAUAGCAAAGACAUGGAAUCAACCUAAAUGCCCAUCAGUGAUAGACUGGAUAAAGAAAAUAUGGUACAUAUACACCAUGGAAUACCAUGCAGCCAUAAAAAAAGGAUGAGAUCAUGUCCUUUCCAGGGACGUGGAUGAAGCUGGAGGCCAUUAUCCUUAGCAAACUAACACAGAAACAGAAACCCAAAUACCACGUUCUCACUUAUAAGUGGGAGAUAAAUGAUAAGAAUGCAUAGACACACAGAGGGAACAACACAUACUGGGGCCUUUUGGAGGAUGUAGGGCAGAGGAAGGGGAGGAUCAGCAAAAACAACUAAUGGGUACUACGCUUAAUACCUGGGUGAUGAAAUAAUCUGUACCACAAACCCCCAUGACACAAGUUUACCCAUGUAACAAACCUGCACUUGUACCCCUGGACUUUAAAAAAAAUUUUUAAUUAAAAAAUAACCAUAAUAAAUAAAGAUAUCACUUUAUGCUUGUUAGGAUGGCUAUUAUCAGAAAGUCAAGAGGUGUUUGGAAGGAUGUGAAGAAAUGGGAACCCUUGUAUACUGUUGGGAAUUUAAAUUGGUACAGACAUAGUAGAAAAUAAUAUGGAUGUUCCUCAAAAAAAUGAAAAUAGAACCACCAUAUGACCAAGCAAUCUCUCUUCUGGGGAUAUACACAAAACACAUGAAGUCAGUACUUCAGAAAGAUAUCUGCACUCCCAUGUUCACUGCAUUAUUCACAAUAGCCAAGAUAGGAAAACAAUCUAAGUGCCCAUCCAUGAAUAAGUAGAUAAAGAAGUUGUGAGAUAUGUAUACACAUACAGGCAUACACUUACACAUAUAUACAUACACAUGUAUAUAUACAAUAAAAUAUUAUUCAGUCUUAUAAAAGGAUAUACUGCCAUUUGCAACAACAAGUAUGAAUCUGGAGGGUACUAUACUAAGUGAAAUAAGCCAGAUACAGAUAGAAAAAUACUGCACAAUCUCACUUAUGUGUGGAAUGAAAAAAAAACAGUUGAAUAUAUAGAAACAGUAGAGUAGUGGUUACCAGGGAUAGGGAAGGGGAGAAAAAUGAGACAAUGUUGAUUAAAAGGUACCAACUUGCAGUUAUGUUAAGAUAAAUAAGUCUGGAGAUCUAAUGUCAGCAGGAAGACUACAGUUAUUAAUACUACAUGUUGACAAUUUGCUCAAGAGUAGAUUUUAGGUGCUCUUGCCAAAAAGUAAAGAUAGAAAAGAGCAACUAGCAACUAUAGAACAUGAUGGACAUGUUAAAAUUGCUUACCUGUAGUAGUAAUUUCCCUAUAAAUAUGUAUAUCAAAAUACCAUUUUGUACACCUUAAAUUUACACAAUUAAAAAAGUUCAACGUUUGUAAUAAUCUUGGAAAUACCAAAUAAAACAAUGAUAAAAUAAAAUACCAUUUUAUUAAAAUGAAGUGAUUUAUUAAUAUUUUUCUGUUUAUACCUAAUGUAUUGGCCAUUUUCAUAUAUUUUUAGUUGGGGAUAGAUUGAUAUAAUUUGUAAUGCACUUUCUCAGUAUAAACUAAGGACAUUAAAACGUGUAUAUCUCUUUACUAAGUUAUUUCCACCUUAAGAGAUCAGAAAUGGAGUUAUUAAUCACUUGGUGGUAAAAUUCUGCAUUGCUUUUAUUUUUAACCUUAUGUAUUUUAUUUUCUAUACAGUAUACAAUUAGCUUAAUAAUAUAUUUUGAAAUGAAAAAAAUAACAUUAAUUUUACAUGAAAAAACUUAGAUCUCCUAAGAAUAAAACUUCAAGGAAAAUAAUUAAAUACUGCAAUAGUACAACUAGGAAGUUGCUCCAGGUUUAGGCAAGCCCAUAGGAUAAAUGAUUAAACCUGCUUCAGGUUGGGCAAGGAAUACCUCAUCAACAAGGAGAAGAUUCAACUUGCCAAAUAGUUGCAAGGAGGGAAUGAUAUUUUUUUCAAAGAAAGAAACUUAUGGUAAGGCUUAAAAAAAGUGUUCCUUAAAGUGCGAUGUAACAUCGAUGUAAAGUGCGAUGUAAAUUCCUUAAAGUGCGAUGAUGAUUAGGAUGUACAUCCUAAUCAUCUGGAGUUGUUGUUUAAAAUGUGCAUCUUUGAGUGCCAACUCAAACCCACUACGUAAAAACCCCUGGGCACAGGGCAUAAAAGCCUGCUGUGUACCUGGUUCUACAGAUGGUUCUCAUGCACAAAAUUUCAGAACCACAUUGUAGAAAAGUAAAGCAGUAUGACAUGCUUUGGAAACUGCAGAUAAUUUAGUGCAACUGUAUUACAGGUUACAGAUAAUAAGAGAUGAAUCUGGAAAAGAAAAGAAUGUUAUGGUACAUGCAUAAGAAUUCUUAAAUGACACACAAGGGGCUUGGACAGUAUGUGAAGAUUCCACAGGAAACCACUGAAGAGUUUUAAGCAAAGGGGUAACCUGAUCAUAUUUUUUUUUCCAGGAUUACCCUGGCAUCAGUGUGGAUGACUGUAUAUGAGGCAGACAUAGAUUGGAAGAAAAACUCUGGAGUGUUUUAAUUUUUCUGGUAUAAGAAGAGGAUUAGGAAAGGCUUACUUAGGUACACUUGGUGAAUAAUUGAUUAUGUGGAUGAAGGGAGAAGAAAUAAUUUUGGAUGAUUCUGAUACCCAUGUUUGCCUGCUUCCAUAUGUAAGUUUAUAACAAUAUAUAGGGGCAAAAGAUAUUUUAAAGCUACAACUCUGUACUUUUCUACUUUUCCUUAUUUUUAAUCACAG